rnacentral:rRNA from 1 species
GAUGAACGCUGGCGGCGUGCCUAAUACAUGCAAGUCGAGCGAACGGACGAGAAGCUUGCUUCUCUGAUGUUAGCGGCGGACGGGUGAGUAACACGUGGAUAACCUACCCAUAAGACUGGGAUAACUUCGGGAAACCGGGGCUAAUACCGGAUAAUAUUUUGAACCGCAUGGUUCAAAAGUGAAAGACGGUCUUGCUGUCACUUAUGGAUGGAUCCGCGCUGCAUUAGCUAGUUGGUAAGGUAACGGCUUACCAAGGCAACGAUGCAUAGCCGACCUGAGAGGGUGAUCGGCCACACUGGAACUGAGACACGGUCCAGACUCCUACGGGAGGCAGCAGUAGGGAAUCUUCCGCAAUGGGCGAAAGCCUGACGGAGCAACGCCGCGUGAGUGAUGAAGGUCUUCGGAUCGUAAAACUCUGUUAUUAGGGAAGAACAUAUGUGUAAGUAACUGUGCACACCUUGACGGUACCUAAUCAGAAAGCCACGGCUAACUACGUGCCAGCAGCCGCGGUAAUACGUAGGUGGCAAGCGUUAUCCGGAAUUAUUGGGCGUAAAGCGCGCGUAGGCGGUUUUUUAAGUCUGAUGUGAAAGCCCACGGCUCAACCGUGGAGGGUCAUUGGAAACUGGAAAACUUGAGUGCAGAAGAGGAAAGUGGAAUUCCAUGUGUAGCGGUGAAAUGCGCAGAGAUAUGGAGGAACACCAGUGGCGAAGGCGACUUUCUGGUCUGUAACUGACGCUGAUGUGCGAAAGCGUGGGGAUCAAACAGGAUUAGAUACCCUGGUAGUCCACGCCGUAAACGAUGAGUGCUAAGUGUUAGGGGGUUUCCGCCCCUUAGUGCUGCAGCUAACGCAUUAAGCACUCCGCCUGGGGAGUACGACCGCAAGGUUGAAACUCAAAGGAAUUGACGGGGACCCGCACAAGCGGUGGAGCAUGUGGUUUAAUUCGAAGCAACGCGAAGAACCUUACCAAAUCUUGACAUCCUUUGACAACUCUAGAGAUAGAGCCUUCCCCUUCGGGGGACAAAGUGACAGGUGGUGCAUGGUUGUCGUCAGCUCGUGUCGUGAGAUGUUGGGUUAAGUCCCGCAACGAGCGCAACCCUUAAGCUUAGUUGCCAUCAUUAAGUUGGGCACUCUAAGUUGACUGCCGGUGACAAACCGGAGGAAGGUGGGGAUGACGUCAAAUCAUCAUGCCCCUUAUGAUUUGGGCUACACACGUGCUACAAUGGACAAUACAAAGGGCAGCGAAACCGCGAGGUCAAGCAAAUCCCAUAAAGUUGUUCUCAGUUCGGAUUGUAGUCUGCAACUCGACUACAUGAAGCUGGAAUCGCUAGUAAUCGUAGAUCAGCAUGCUACGGUGAAUACGUUCCCGGGUCU